AGUAACCGUGGGUAACCUGCCUGUAAGACUGGGAUAACUCCGGGAAACCGGGGCUAAUACCGGAUGCUUGUUUGAACCGCAUGGUUCAAACAUAAAAGGUGGCUUCGGCUACCACUUACAGAUGGACCCGCGGCGCAUUAGCUAGUUGGUGAGGUAACGGCUCACCAAGGCAACGAUGCGUAGCCGACCUGAGAGGGUGAUCGGCCACACUGGGACUGAGACACGGCCCAGACUCCUACGGGAGGCAGCAGUAGGGAAUCUUCCGCAAUGGACGAAAGUCUGACGGAGCAACGCCGCGUGAGUGAUGAAGGUUUUCGGAUCGUAAAGCUCUGUUGUUAGGGAAGAACAAGUACCGUUCGAAUAGGGCGGUACCUUGACGGUACCUAACCAGAAAGCCACGGCUAACUACGUGCCAGCAGCCGCGGUAAUACGUAGGUGGCAAGCGUUGUCCGGAAUUAUUGGGCGUAAAGGGCUCGCAGGCGGUUUCUUAAGUCUGAUGUGAAAGCCCCCGGCUCAACCGGGGAGGGUCAUUGGAAACUGGGGAACUUGAGUGCAGAAGAGGAGAGUGGAAUUCCACGUGUAGCGGUGAAAUGCGUAGAGAUGUGGAGGAACACCAGUGGCGAAAGGCGACUCUCUGGUCUGUAACUGACGCUGAGGAGCGAAAGCGUGGGGAGCGAACAGGAUUAGAUACCCUGGGUAGUCCACGCCGUAAACGAUGAGUGCUAAGUGUUAGGGGGUUUCCGCCCCCUUAGUGCUGCAGSUAACGCAUUAAGCACUCCGCCUGGGGAGUACGGUGCAAGACUGAAACUCAAAGGAAUUGACGGGGGCCCGCACAAGCGGUGGAGCAUGUGGUUUAAUUGAAGCAACGCGAAGAACCUUACCAGGUCUUGACAUCCUCUGACAAUCCUAGAGAUAGGACGUCCCCUUCGGGGGCAGAGUGACAGGUGGUGCAUGGUUGUCGUCAGCUCGUGUCGUGAGAUGUUGGGUUAAGUCCCGCAACGAGCGCAACCCUUGAUUUAGUUGCCAGCAUUCAGUUGGGCACUCUAAGGUGACUGCCGGUGACAAACCGGAGGAAGGUGGGGAUGACGUCAAAUCAUCAUGCCCCUUAUGACCUGGGCUACACACGUG
rnacentral:rRNA from 1 species